rnacentral:lncRNA from 1 species
CCAGAAUACCAUUACACAAACAUUCAUGCAAGCAAAUUACAAAACCAAAACAUCACAGCAUCCUUAUACAAGUAUGCAUAAAGACAUACAGACAGACACUGGUUUAACCAGAGAUUUCGAUAGCCUUAACAUCAGGUUUGGUCACCUCCACUUUCGGAACAGUAACAGUGAGCACACCACUCUCCAUGGAAGCCUUAAUCUGAUCCAUCUUCACAUUCUCAGGUAACCUGAACCUCCUUGAGAACAUGCCACUGCUGCGCUCAACGCGAUGCCACGUGUCGUUCUUGUCUUCCUUCUCAAUCUUCCUCUGACCGCUUAUCUGAAGCACCCUGUCGUCUUCGACCUCGACCUUCACUUCCUCUUUCCGGAGCCCCGGAAGAUCGGCCUUGAACACGUGGGCUUCCGGGGUUUCCUUCCAGUCCACGCGGGCAUUAACGACAGCAGAGGUUUCUGGAGGGAACUGAGAGGACAGCGCAGACGAAUAACCGGAAGGGAAAGGGAAGUCCCUGAAUGGAUCCCAAACGUCGAGUGAAAAUGGAUCAGAGACACUGCUGCGUCGGUUUCCGAAGAAGCUUGGAAUCAACGACAUCGUUUCUCAAUAGAGUGAUACGGCUUUCGGUAUUUUGCUGCUGAUGCGAAUAAGAGGGUAAGUGAUUGGGUAUUUAUACAACUAUAGGAGAUUUCUGGUGAUUUCGGGGGCAUUAAUUGCUUCAUCUUUUGACUUGACGGGAACCGACACGAAACGAGGUAUCUAGUAUUCUCUUUAUUAUGAAAUUUUGUGGGCUUUGCUCGAAGGUUCUGGAUUUUGCAUGUUAAAAGCUUUCAAGCUUGUCUUGUCUGUCAUACGGAGAACGAAAUGUGAAGUGUCGUGUCGGUUUCUUAUAUUUUAACUGGAUGACAUAAGUAUCUUUGUUUCUUGGAUACAAAACUAUGGAUCUACAUGAGAAGAUUUGAAAGUUGCAUUGGCAAAGGUUUGUCCUGUUAAAAUUACUUCAAUGAUUGGUGAAAUUAAUCCAAGUAAUUUUAAGUUAAACUGAAUUGAUAUUCCAUUUUGGUCUUAAUUCAUUUUGGAUAAAAGGACACCCAUAAUCUAAAAAAUUUUGGAAAAUUAAUAAAGGGGCAUUAAGGUGGCGUUUGUUUUUUUGUCUGAAAUCUGAAUAGACCUGAAUUAGUCUGAAUUCUGAAUAGAUCUGAAUAUCUAAAUCUGAAUAAUAUGUUUAUUUUUUCAUCUGAAUGUCGAAAAAUAAGUAUUAAGUUGUUUGUUUUUUUCAACUUAAAAAGUUGAAAAUAUGUACUUUUACAUUUGUAUUCUUAUUAAAUUUGAAUGUCAAAUAAAUAAUAUAUUAAAUACCACAAUAUUUUAACAUUUAUAAGUAAAACUAUAUUCAAGUGAAUACAUAAUUAUUUUAGAAUUUUAAUAUAUAAAAUACCAUAAAUUUCAAAUUUUAUCGUAUAUAAUAUAAGAAAGAAAAAAUAUGGAUAUUUUUAUGUGGGGAAAAUGUCUAUGGGUGAGUUUUGGGAUAGACAUGAAAAAUAAAUUAUAAAGCAAUGAUAUUUUUGACAUUAGCAAGUAAUUAACUUAAUUAAGAUUUCUCCAUUAAGUAAAAAGCAAAAAAAAAAUUGGCUUAUUUUAUUAAGUCAAAAUGAUCAAAAAAGUAUCAUUAAGUUAUAAAAACAAACACUUCUAAUUAACUUAAUUAAUUAAGUUAAGUUACUUUAAGUCAUUAAGUUAAAAAACAAACGCCACCUAAGUUUCCUUUUGACUAUAACCCUUAGUGAAUAAUAAUUCACAAAAUUGACUUUAAAUUUUUUAAUAAACAUUAAAACAUAAAUAUUAUUUAAAUAGUUUAAUUUGUCUAGUAGAUUGAUAAUAUUAUAAUAAUUUAAUUAUGAAAAAAUAAUUUUUAAAAUGUAAAUUUUUAUAUGUUUUUAAUAAUGUAUUUGUAUUUAUUAUAAAAAAAUUUAAAUAAAUUUUUAGGUUAAAUAGAUUUUACAAUUAAUGAAAUAUAUCUCAUGCAUUAGUAAUAUUAAAAUUAUUGUAUCUAAUAUUGAAGUUAAUUUAAAUUUUUAACAUACUUAUUUUAUUAUUAUGUUUCUAUUUACUAUAAAAUUUAGUUUAAUAAAAUAUGAUAUUCUAAUAUAUAUAUGAGAUUUUGUGUUUAAAACUUGUGUUUUAUUUUGAAGUUUUAUUGUGUGGUGAAUUUUUACUGGUAGUAAGUCCCGCCAUAAGAUAAGGAUUCCGUUCAGGGCUGUAAAACCAUACCUGUAGCCACAUUAACCGAACCAUAAGUAGACCAUAGGUUUUACCCAUGGACCCUCCACUCUGUAGAACAUCAUCCUUUUCUAGCUCUUCUUCUGGGAAGACUAGUGAUUCAAAGCAUGUUGUGAGUUCAGAAGAAUUCAUUAUUGAGAACUUUGAUAAAGCAAUUGAUUAUUGGGAACUUCCAAAAAUUUCUAAAGAAAAGAUUUACAAAACAAAAAAGCUUGAUUUUUUAAAAAAUGAUUACGUUAUAAAAAUUGAAGAACGAGACAUAACUCUUUCAGAGCAUUUUAAAACAAUUCAUUUGUUUUCAGAAAAAUCUUUAAAGAAAUUAAAAGAAAAGAAUUUUAAUUAUAUUCACAUCGGUUUGAUUCAAGUAGGAAUAAAACCCUUAACCAAAGAAGGCUUGGAUACCUCUAUCCUUGCUGUCCUAAGAGAUGGGCGAUUCAUCUCUUUUGAUGAUUCUUUGCUAAGUAGCAUCGAAUCCAGUCUCUGUAAAUGUCCAAUUUCUUUUGAUUGUUAUCCAAACAUAACAAUUUCUCUUAAAGACAAAAACAUUUUUAAAAGUAUGAUUUUACAAAUCAAAACACAUAAUUAUAACAUGAUUAAAGGAUCUGUUCCUGUUGCUUUAAUUUUUAAAAUCUCUUAUAAAGCCAUGAUAUCUGCUUUUAGCACACAACAUAAAUUCCAGUAAAAAAGAGAAGAGACUCUCCUCUUACAGACUGAUUUGUCAAGAGCCAACACUGUCAUUCCAAAACCAAUCCAAUGGAAAGAUGUUCAUCUUCCAGAGGAAUGGAUUCUUGAAGGAGCCGCUCCACCAACGAUUCCAAAACAACUUGAGCCAAAUACAGAGUUACAAAAUGUGACUCAGUAUUCUGAUGGCAAAGUCAAAUUAUCUUUCAGGAGAUCUAAUUCAACCAGAUUUUCUGAUAAAGAGUCAUGCUCAAGUAUCCCUUCAUUAGAAAGAAAAUUUACAAAAAUACCCUCUGUCUUAAAUCUUCCUUUUACAGCAAAUAGUCAAUCUAGGUUUUCCACUUCGGAUAUACCUAGUUCCUCCAUACGUUCAGUUGACUAUGCAACUAGUGUUCCCCAUCCUAUUUACACUAGUCGCCAGAUACAGGAAGAGAAAGAACAUUCUCCUCAUACUUCUCCAACGUUUUCUGCUGUCACAGAAAAUGUCAUAAAUGUCCUUGAAAAAGAAUUUGAAAUAGAUAAAAAUCUUUUGCAUAAUGAUUUUUAUUCUGAAUCUAAUAAAGAAAAAAGAAUUUGGUUUUUUAAACACUUUUUGAACCAAAGAAAAGAAAUCCAACAAACUUACUAUGAAUUUGUAAAUUUAUAUCAAGUUCAUAUAUUGUUUUUUGAUUGGUUCGAGAUAUACUCUUCUGAUAACAAUAUUGAUUAUCCUUUCAAAGAGUCAAGCCCUAUUACUAUUAGGAAGAAAAUUCCUGAGUGGAAACUUUCUGAUAGUGAUAGAACCGUAGAAUCUGAGCAUCCACCUCUUCGGAGUAUAACCGUUGAUCACGGUGAACCUCAUGUCCAAAUUAGGGCUUCACCCUAUAAAAUCCCUAAGCCAAAUGAUUCUGAUGCGAAUUUGAGUAGUAUUAUCCAACAGAAUAAUGUUGUGCAAAUUUUGUUGAACUCGCAAGCGCACGAAUCUAUUGUAGUAUAGAUCAAUGGUGACGAGUGUCGAUCCCACGAGGAGGUGAAUUUUUAAUUAUGUGUAGAAUUAAUUCUGUAAAUGGGUGGUUGGAAUUGUGGUGGAAGUGAUUUAAAAUAUGCUAAAAUUGGAAUUGAAAUGACGAUAAUAAAUAUGCUAAAAUUGGAAUUGCAAUGGCGAGAAUAAAUUGUAGAGAAAAUCGAUUAAAUUGACGUACUUGGGUAUCUGGAUCCGUAUCAACAUGCAUCAUGGGCUAAAUAAUCCGUAUUAAUGACAAUUAAAUCAUGAGGGGGGAAUCCACACCUCAUGAACCACGCUCUAAUCAAUAUGGUGCUAAGGGCUUAUCGUGCCAAAUAAUAAUAACCUUAUACUAGAGAGCCGGUGUAACCAAUGCGGUAUCUAGACAAGAUUAUUAUUAUUUGUCGACGAGAAGUCAAAACAUCCACAAAAACUAGAGGGGAAGAGAAAAUAAAUUUACCAAAUUAAGCUCAUGACACAUGUUGAGACUUCACCUUCAACCCAAGCUUGAAAGAAAAUUAGCUACUCAUAAUUGAACUAGGGGCAAAAUGAGAAUUUAUUAAAAUACAAAGAAAAUACAAGAUGGAGAAGGAAUUACAGAAAAUGGAUCCCAAAAAUGGAUUCAGAGAUAUCAAAUUAGGGGGGAGAGGCCCCCUUUUUAUAGAUACAUGGAGUAAAUCAUGGCCAUCGGAUUAAAAACAAUUUGGACGCUCAGGAUUGCGCCACGUCAUCAGUCAACGGUCCACGGUUUGACCACGCGUAUGAAUAGUAACACGGUUUGACCCGGAUGAACAGUAACGCGGUUUGGUUGAAAAUAAUCCUGUGUGAUGCAUGCACCGUACGCGAGAUUUUUCGUCCACUGAUAUGCUGCCACGUCACCAUCAACAAUACAUAAGAAUUUUAGUCCAACAGGAUCGUGACACCUCAUCAGUCAAUGCCACAUCAUCGGUCAAUGCCACGUCAUCGAUCCGUCUAUGUGAACAGUUUCGUGAACAGUAACGUAGACAGUACCGUACACGUGAAUAGUACCGUACAUGUGAAUAGUGCCAUUUUUCCUUUUAUGCUCCUCCUAAGGUUUUCGACCGUCCUGAGUUCAAAAGUGAUGUCCGUUUUGCCGUCUGAUCUCUUUUUUAUUGUGAAAUGACUAUAAUACCCCUAAAAUACAUAAAAUACUUAAUUAAAAUAAAACACACGGAAUUAAAUCAAAAGAAGGUUAAAUUCAUAAAAGUAAAGGUGUUAGUAAAAUUUGUAGUGUAAAAUGAUGAUUUUCUCCUUUAUAAAUAUACAUUUUCUAACACUCAACAAAUAAUUUAUGUAAUACUAACUUAAAUACAAUUGGAAAGCAAUUGGCCCGAAUAGAAAACCAAUUUCAAACCUCAACUAUAGCAGUUUCCACUGUUCCAUCAAAAUCAGAUUCUGACAAAAAGCUUAAGGAACCUAUUUUCAAACCUUUUCAGGUUUCGAGAACUAGCCAAAAGCUUGUCCAAGAGUCAAAGUCAGAUUUUGCCAAAGCCAUUAGAGAACAACUAGAUAGGAUAGAAGCUACUUCUUCCUCAUCUAGCAAAGUUCAAAUAGCACUUGAUACUCUCCAAUCUAGCAAGAUUGGAGUAUUAGAACAUGACCAGGAGUCUAUAGCCUCUUAUGAUCUAGAAGCCUUUAAAGAAGAACAUAUUCCUAAAGCCAACAAAAUCCAUUGGGAAUUAGCCCUCUCAACUACCAAGUCUCCACCUGAUUUGACCAUAGACAACAGGCCCAGUGCAUUAAAUCAGUCCCGAUAUAAUGCAUCCUCUGUCUAUGAGUGGAAUAUAGAUGGAAUGUCUGAAUACAACAUCCUAGGUGUAUUGCAGCAAAUGACCAUGGCAGCCAAUGCCUAUAAAACCCAAUCGAGAACGUCUGACAAAGCCAUUGCAGAAAUCCUUAUUGCUGGUUUUACUGGUCAACUUAAAGGAUGGUGGGAUCAUCUUCUUACCAAAUUACAGUAAUUAGAUAUCCUAAACUCCAUACAAACAGAUGAGAAUAGUGCCCCCAUUCUUGAUGAGUUUAAUAGUCCAAUUCAGGAUGUUGUAGCUACCCUGAUUUUGACUAUAUCCCUCCAUUUCAUAGGUGACCCUUCUCACCUUAGAGAUAAAAACGUCGAGUUACUACACAACCUAAGGUGUAGAAAACUUAGUGAAUUCCAAAGCUAUAAAACCACAUUCUUCACCAGACUUUUCCUUAGGGAUGAUGCAAAUCAUACAACUUGGAAGGAAAAAUUCCUUGCAGGUCUACCUACCCUACUAGGAGAAAAGGUUAUGAAUUCCAUUAAAGCCCUUUAUGAUAACCGUAUUCCUUACGAUGAGCUCACCUAUGGUGAACUUGUCAGUUUCGUCAAUAAGGAAGACUUAAAGAUUUGUCAAGAUUUGAAAUUACAGAAACGACUUAAAUGGGAGCUUAAAAGGUCUAAGCAAGAAUUAGGCAGUUUCUGUAAACAAUUCAAUUAUGACCCCUUUAAGACUUCUACUUCCAAAGAUUGUAAUGGUAAGUGUCCUACAAAACCUUACAAGAAACAUUACAAGUCUAGAUUCUGUAAAAAACCCUUUCAAGACUUUAGAGAAAUUCAUUAUAAGAAACCUUCGAGGCCUUAUAAGAAAUCUAAUUUCUCUAAAAAGAAAGAGUUUAAAGCCAAACCAAAAACCCCGUUUAACUACAAAGAAGCCAUUUGUCACAAAUGUGGUAUAAAAGGCCAUACUGCAAAGUAUUGCAGAAUGAGCAGAAAGCUCCAUGAGCUAGAUCUAGAUGAAGAAACCCUCUCUAAAAUUACCUCUCUGCUCAUAGAGUCUUCCGACUCUGAGUCUUCCAUGUCGGGAGAUAAUGACCCUCUUCAAGUUGAUGAGUUAAUUGACUCAGAUGACUCUGCAUCUAGCAGUAGUGAUUCUGAAUCAGAUUCUUAUUUAAAGAAAAUCAAUGUUUUGACUAAAGACCAAGAAAUCUUUCUUGAACUUGUUAAACAUAUUUCUGAUCCAAAUCUUCAAAAGGAAUACCUUGACAAACUUUUCAAAACUCUGGAUUCUAAUAAAGCAGAAACUUCUAAAGUUCCAAUUGUUAAAAAGAAUUCUUACGAUCUCACUGAAAUUCUGGAUAAAAAGAAAACAAAAAAGUCAAUUCCUAAUAUUCAAGAUCUUCAUAAAGAAAUCAAAGAUAUCAAACUUAAAAUUAAAGAACUAAAAGAAAAACAAAAGAAAGAUUCUGAAACUAUUCAACUUCUCAUACAAAAACAAUUAGAAGAAAAUUCUGAAAAAGAAGUUGAAUCUGAAAGUGAUAAUGAACAAAAAAUUGACAACAUUGAAUCUGUACCCAAUGAUUUUCUGUUUGUCCUAAAACAAAUCACCACCAGAAAAUACUUAAUUAAAAUCACUUUAAUUUUUUCCAAAGACUUUGCUAUUGAUGACAUUGCCCUUUUUGACACUGGUGCCGAUCUAAAUUGUAUAAGAGAAGACAUUGUCCCCAAAAGAUUUCAUGAAAAAACAAAAGAAAGGCUUUCUACCGCCAACAAUUCAAAACUUAAAGUCAAUUCUAAAGUUGAAGCUUCAAUCCAUAACAGUGGUUUUGAAUUUAAAACUUCAUUUCUUCUUACAAAUGACAUUCACCAUACUGUCAUUUUGGGAACCCCAUUCAUAAAUUUAAUUACCCCAUAUACUGUCAAUUAUGAUAGUAUAUCUUUUAAAGCAAAGUCCAAAAAGCUUGUUUUCCCUUUUAUUGAGAAACCAAAAACAAGAAAUCUAAAUAUUGUUAAAGCUUGUUCUGUUUACCAGAAUCAGAUCAACGCCAUGCUUAAAUCUAAAAAAAAUGACUUGUUUUGUUUAAAAAAAGAUUUAAAUCUACAAAGACUUGAAAGCCAAUUACAAAAUGAAUUUAUACAAAGAAAAAUCUUUGAUUUCAAAAAUCUCAUUGAAAAAGAAAUAUGUGCCGAUUUACCAUCUGCUUUUUGGAAAAGAAAACAACAUUUGGUAGAUUUGCCCUAUGAAAACUCUUUUGAUGAAAAACAAAUACCCACUAAAACUCAUCCAAUCCAGAUGAACAUGGAAUUGGAACAACAUUGUAAAAAUGAAAUAAAAGAUUUGGAAAACAAAGGACUCAUUGUAACAGUUUAAAACCCAUUUUGUAUAUAAAUCUCGAGGAAGACUUAGACUCCUCAGAUUUUUCAUUUUUCAGUUUUUCCUCUCUUUCCUUCUCUCUCUCUCUCUCUCUCUCUCUCUCUCUGGGAAGUCUGGAUCAAGACAUCCAGGAAACCAUCCUGUCUUGUAAAUGAUCAAGACAUCAAGGAAGUUUCCUGUCUUGUAAUCUUCCCGUCUUCAUUGUAAAAUCUAGAUCCCCAUGGUCUUGUGCCGCUUUCUAUGUCAAUAAAAACUCCGAAAUAGAAAGAGGAAUACCAAGACUUGUAAUAAAUUACAAACCUUUAAAUAAAGCCCUAAAAUGGAUUAGGUAUCCUAUACCUAAUAAAAAAGACUUACUCCAAAGAUUGUGUUCAGCUUAUAUUUUUUCAAAAUUUGAUAUGAAAUAUGGUUUUUGGCAAAUCCAAAUCCACCCAAAUGACCGUUAUAAAACUGCCUUUACUGUUCCUUUUGGACAGUAUGAGUGGACUGUAAUGCCAUUUGGUUUAAAAAAUGCACCCUCAGAAUUUCAAAGAAUUAUGAAUGAUAUUUAUAACCCUUAUUUUGAGUUUUGCAUUGUCUAUAUAGAUGAUGUGUUGAUUUUUUCUCAAACUAUUGAUCAACAUUUCAAACAUUUAAAGACCUUUUAUUUUGCCACUAGAAAUGCUGGUCUAGCCCUUUCUAGUUCAAAGAUUUCAUUAUUUCAAACAAAAGUCAGAUUCCUUGGUCACUAUAUUUCUAAAGGAACUAUCACCCCUAUUGAGCGAUCACUUUUGUUUGCUGAUAAAUUUCCUGAUAAAAUCAUUGAUAAAACCCAAUUACAAAGAUUUUUAGGAAGUUUAAAUUAUGUUCUUGAUUUCUGUCCUAAUAUUAACCGAAUGUCUAAACCUCUGAAUGACAGAUUGAAAAAGAAUCAUGUUGCAUGGACAGAUGAACGUACUAAAGCUGUCCAAUUGAUAAAAAAUUCUGUAAAGAAUAUCCCCUGUUUAUUUUUAGCAAAUCCUGCAUUGCCUAAAAUAGUUGAAACUGAUGCAUUUGAUUUAGGUUAUGGAGGUAUAUUAAAACAAAAAGAAAAUGAUAAAGAACAAAUAAUACAAUAUGUUUCUGCACAUUGGAAAAAGAUGUUCGAAAUAUUACUUCAAAACAAAUUUUUGCAAGAUGGCAAGUCAUUUUAAGUGUUUUUGAUUUUGAUAUUGAAUUUAUUAAAGGAGAUGAAAACUCUGUUCCUGAUUUUCUAACCAGAGAAUUUCUUCAAAACAGAUAAUGCCGCCAUAGGUCACCCCACUGGUUUGGGCUCAAGACUUUUAAGAUAGUAGCCGUGGAAUAGGCUGGCUCUGAAUGGGUUUCACUGAGAAAGAAAUGUUUGAAUUUAACUGACUCAGUAACUUCUAAAAUGCUUUGAUAGUAAGACUGGGGUUUUGUUAAAUCCCAUGGUUUAAAAAACCAGCCUUUGGGGAAAAACUUUGAAAUUGCUUGAAAAAGAUCAUAAUGGUAAAAUCCAUCUUCUAUAGAUAAAAUGUUUUGAAAAUGGGUUUUAUCAAACCAAUCGGAAGAUUUCUUUGAAGGUGUUGGCUGAGAAAGCACAAUUUGAGAAGAUGAGCUUUCACCAGAGACAACUACAUUUUGAGAAGAGGGUUUUGAAAUCUCUUUGGGAAUAUGGUUUUCUCUUUCAAUUUCUUAUAUAUAUAUAUAUAUAUAUUUUGCAUACCAAAUUUAUUUUUCAGUGUAUGUAUUGUUAUAUAUAUUUUAAUAUUCUACUUCUUAUAAUAAAACAUCUGAGUUAAUUUUUUUAAGUUAAUAAAGUUAAAAGGGUAUUUAAGUUAAAAAUGGGUCUUGGUAUCCCUUGGAAAAAAAUAUGGGGGUCUAUAUGAAUAUUUUUUCAAAUCUUAGGGUUGUAAAUACCCUUUUCCUUAAUUUUAAUUAAUAUAUUAAGUAAGAAUUGAUCAAAGAUCAACGAUACUGUUCCAUCAAUUCUUGAUGAAGUUUGCAAUCAACCACAUUUCUUAAUUUAAUUACAUAUUUUCUUGUUGAAUGAGUGAUUACGUAGUAGGGGUGGGCAAAAUCGGAUUCGGGUCGGGUUCGGGUCAACCCGAUCGGGUUUCGGGUUAUUCGAGUUGUGAAAAUAUUGAUCCGAUUACAACCCGAACUUACAAUCCGAUCUGAUAUGAUCCGAUAUAUAUUCGGAUCGGAUAAAAAAUCGGGUUGAAUUCGGGUUGAAUCGGUUCGGAUUAAAAAUGGAUCAUAUUGCAUUCGGAUGAAAUUAGGCCAAUUCGGGUUGAUGAAAACGGGUAAAUUCAAAACAUAUAUACCGAUACACCAUCAAAGCUUCAAAAUUCAAAACACAUAAGGGAGAAACUCGGGUCGGGUUGGAGCUUGAGCCUUGGAGUAGCAGAUCGGCGGCCACGGCAGCAGCUUAGAAUAAUAAAUUUAAUAAUAAAUUUAAUAAUAUUAUAAUUAAUAAAAUAAUAAUAACAAUAAUUAAAAUAAUAAAUUUUAUAUUUUAAUAAUAGUAAUAAAAAUAAUAAAUAAUAAUAAUAACAACUUAAUUAAAGUAAUUGUAACAAUUAAAAUAAUAAAAUAAAUAAAAUUAUCUGCAGCCGCCGUGUCAUAAAAGUCAAAUUUGUGCAAUGGUAUCUCUGACAGCUGAUUGGCAAAUUGUUAAAAAAAUUCAAAACCGCAACCUUCUCCUCUAGCUCUGUGUAUUUUUCCUGGCAAUGAAUCCCAUUAGCCAUUUAAGUCCUCGUCUUCAUUUUUGCAGCCACACCAACAGAAACAAAAUGGAGAGACAAGAACAACAAAAGGCCAGCCGCUUGGUGUUUGUGUUGUUUCCAUCUCAAGGCCACAUAAAUCCUAUGCUUCAGCUUGCCACCAUCCUUCACUCAAAAGGCUUUUCAAUCACCAUCAUUCACCCAAAAUUCAACUCUCCCAACUCAUCUAAUUAUCCUGAAUUCACAUUCAUACCCAUAUCAGAUAACUUACCUGAAAGCCAAGACUCAUUUGGGGAUUUUGGCAUCGUUUCCGCUCUUAACAAGAAUUGUGAAGGACCGUUGACUGAAUGCAUUCAACAAAUGUUGAAAGCAGAGGAUCCGCAAGAUCGGCUUUCGUGUAUCGUUUAUGACAGCGUUAUGCACUUUUCUCAAAGUGUUGCUGAUCAUUUAAAGCUUCCGGGAAUCAGUGUUCGUACUGGCCCUGCUGCCACAGUGUUGGCCUUCGCUGUCUGUCCUCGUCUUGAUGAGCAAGGUUACAUCUCCUUCCUAGGUAAAGUUUGAAUACUUCGUAUGAGUGGCUAAUUUGAUAACGAAACUAGAUACAUGUAAUUAAUUUUAUCUCCCUCGAAUUUGCGGAAUAGUUUCAUUGAAACAGAGGUAAUUAGGCCAAUCCGGUUUGUCCUCAAGACUCUUUGAUAAUAACUUACCUAAACUAGCUUCCAUUGUUAUAGCUGAUAUGCCAAUUGUGCAACAGAAUCUAUGUCCCUGGACGGAAAGAGCGAUCUCCUGUCCCUCCUGCUUAAGGAACUAGCUUUUUCAAUGAAAAAAUUUACAGCCCCUGGUUUCUUAGAGUUAAGAGCUGCUGUAACAGAUUCAGUGCAAAGGUGUUCAGCUCUCAUUUUUAACACAGUUGAUUUCAUUGAACAAGAAGCACUAACAAAAGUUCAAGAACUAUUCUCAGCUUCAGCUUUCACCAUAGGUCCUUUUCACAAAUUAGCGCCAACCAUUUCUAGUUCAUUACUAAAGGAAGACAGUCAUUGCAUUUCUUGGCUAAACAAGCAAGCUCCAAAGUCUGUCAUUUAUGUAAGUUUUGGCAGCGUAGCUAGUAUAGACGAGAAAGAGCUGCUUGAAACAGCUUGGGGCCUGGCAAACUGUGAGCAACCUUUCUUGUGGGUGGUUAGGCCAGGUUUGGUUCGUGGCUCGAAUUGCUUGGAACUAUUACCAAUUAAUUUUCAAGAUAGCGUUGGAGAAAGGGGUUGCAUUGUGGAAUGGGCACCGCAAAAGGAGGUGCUAGCAAAUGAUGCUGUAGGUGGGUUUUGGAGCCAUUGUGGCUGGAAUUCUACUCUCGAAAGCAUUUGCGAAGGCAUUCCAAUGCUAUGCAGGCCAUUUUUCGGGGAUCAAAACUUAAACAGGAGAUAUGUGUGUGACGUUUGGAAUGUAGGCUUGGAAUUGGAGGAGUUCGAGAGAGGGAAGAUUGAGAAAGCUAUAAAAACACUCAUGGUAGAUACAGAAGGCGAAGAGAUGAGGAAAAAGGCAACACAUUUGAAGGAGAAGGUGGGGCUGUCUCUGAAAGAAGGUGGUUCUUGCUACAAUUCAUUGAAUGAUUUAGCUGAGAAAAUCUUAUCAUUCCGACCAAAUGAAGAUGGAGCUUCUGGACCAACCAGUGUUUUUAGCUGCUGAAGUAUCUAUUAGAUUUAAGGCUUGAAUAAUAUCCUGGCUCAUAUGUCACAAAUUUGAUGUAGAAGUUUUAAAAGCUUUGUGGAUCUUAAGACCAUUGAUAAACAUUAUUACUUCAUGAUAUUGAUUCUCUUAAAUGUUACAGUGAAGACUCCAAAUGUGUUGUGAAGAAAAUGAUCAGAGGAAAUAGACAAAACGAAGUAAAUAUAAAGCCAAAGGAGAAAAAGAAAAAACAAAUCUUCUAAGGAACUGAAAUCAGAUUCCGAGAUUAGGUACAAACCUGCCAACAAAUCAUCCCAUGAAAACUUAACACAUUCACACAGAUCUAGGCCACAUGCAAACAAAUAUGAUAAACGCGAUCACCGUUCCAUUUUUUCAUUUUCCGAGUUUCUUAAAUUUACCUUAUCUGCCUUUCAACUUAAUUCGGCCUAAUAUGGCUAGUAUCUAUGUGCUUGUGACUGUGAGAUGUUACAUUGUAAAAAAAUAAUCCACACCUCAGUUACAUGUGCUUGAGAUGCAUAAAAGUGGAUCGAUGUGCCAUCUAAAACAAAAAAACUGAAUAGCAGUAAGACUGGAGAUACACACAGAUGGAGGAGCAAAAGCAGAGACAUUGCUGAUUGGUGCUAGGGCCAUGUCCAUUCCAGGGACACUGAAAACCAAUGCUUCAGCUGGGAACCAUUCUUAAUUCAAAGAGUUUUGCAAUUACAGUUGCAGACACCAGAUUUAUUUCACCUAAUCCUUCAAACUACCCUAAUUUUGAUUUCCUGCUGAUCGUGGGUGGCUUCAUCAGUUCUAACCCUUCCUUUGGGGAUUUGCUGGCUUCCAUUCUACUCCUCUAUCACAAUUCCAAAGCACCUUUCCAGCAAUGCUCUACUCUAUUAAUGGAACAACAGAAGGCACAGCUGAGGUGAUCUCCUGUAUCCUCCACGAUAAAAUCAUGUAUUUUUCAAAAGUUGUAUCAGCCUGGAGCUUUCAAGCAGCAGCUUGUGCCCUGCUAGUGCAGCGCAAUAUAAUUCUCGCAAAGCCAUUCCUCAGCAGGGUAUGUAUCCCGUUUAAGAAUUUAUAGAAUUUCAGGGUCGCAUCAUUAAGCAUUUUUUCCAAGCAUUCUGUAAAAACUGCCUUUCUUAAGUCCCAAUUAUAGAGUGAAUCCUAACUAUAGAUUGAACAGAUCAUGUGCAGAUAAAGUCCUCUUUUUUUUCAUUUUUUAUUUGGAAUUUCAGGCCUUGGAUUAAAGGACAUAAUGCCUGAGUUUCAUCCCCUCAGGCUAACAGAUCUGCCUUCGUCCAAAUUUGAGUCUCUGGAAUAAUUGUCACUUGGACAAAGCAUUGCUAUAUUACAAACUCUUUCAGCUCUCACUUUCAACACAAAUUCAAGAGCAUUGCCAAGUUCCAAUCUUCUCAAUAGGCCCUCUUCACGAAUUUGCACCAGUCCUCUCUGGCGGCUUGUUAAAAGAAGACCUGAGCUGCAUUACACGGCUUGACAAAGAAUUCUGUUUUAUACAUAUAUAAGCCUAUCAAGUGUAACGCUAAUAGAUGCAAAUGAACUACCAGACAUGGCAUGGGGCUUUGCCCAAGAGCAAGCAGCAGCCUUUUCUUGCAGGCGAUUUAAGGCUGGCCCACUGCUUGGUUCAGGUUGGCUUGAGUUACUGCCCAAGGGUUCGAAGAAAGAGGCUUCAUUGUGAAAUGAGCACCACAGAGACACGUCUUGGCACUUCAAGCUUUAAGGGGUUUUCUUUGAAAGAGAAGGUUGACACUCGUAUGGCGAAGGUUGUUCCUUCUACAACUACUGGAAUGAGUUGGCGAAAUUGAUCAAGUCAUUCUAAAUGCAAUUGAUUUAGCGCUUCGAAAUUGAUCAAGUCAUUCUAAAUGCAAUUGAUUUAGCGCUUACAGCUUUAGGGGAAUUCUGGAGCCAUUGUGGUCGCAGUCAGACUCUGGAAAGAGUAAGAGAAGGAAUUCCUGCGAUGUGAGGGCUGGAGAUUUCAAAGAAAAGAUUGAUAUUUGUAUUCACCAAGGCUGCUCCUCCUACUCCAAGCAGUUAAUGAUUGAUCGAGUCAUUUUAAAUGCAGUUGAAUUAGUGCUUGAUUUUGUUUCACCUACGAUUUUAUCCAUAUUGGCUGGAGACAUAGGAUUCAUGAUAUGUUAGCUUAUUGAUUACAUACGCAUAGCAUUCAUGUACCAAACACUGUAAAUUGGCGAAAGGGAAAACCAUCAAAGCUCAAAUGAAUCCAUAUUGAGCUAGCAUUUAAAAGAAGAGAUUGCAGAAGUCGUGUCAAAAAACAGUCCAGUUUAUUGAUUACACCCAGAAUACCAUUACACAAACAUUCAUGCAAGCAAAUUACAAAACCAAAACAUCACAGCAUCCUUAUACAAGUAUGCAUAAAGACAUACAGACAGACACUGGUUUAACCAGAGAUUUCGAUAGCCUUAACAUCAGGUUUGGUCACCUCCACUUUCGGAACAGUAACAGUGAGCACACCACUCUCCAUGGAAGCCUUAAUCUGAUCCAUCUUCACAUUCUCAGGCAACCUGAACCUCCUCGAGAACAUGCCACUGCUGCGCUCAACGCGAUGCCACGUGUCGUUCUUGUCUUCCUUCUCAAUAUUCCUCUGACCGCUUAU